AAUCAACGCUGGCGGCGUGCCUCAGACAUGCAAGUCGAACGCGAAAUUUCCCUUCGGGGAGAAAGUAGAGUGGCGCACGGGUGAGUAACACGUGGGUAAUUUACCUUCGGGUGGGGAAUAACAGUCGGAAACGACUGCUAAUACCGCAUGAUGCAGCGGCACCACAUGGUGACAGUUGUUAAAGCGGGGGAUCGCAAGACCUCGCGCCUGAAGAGAAGCCCGCGGCAGAUAGCUAGUUGGUAAGGUAAUGGCUUACCAAGGCAACGAUCUGUAGCCGGCCUGAGAGGGCGGUCGGCCACACUGACACUGAAUAACGGGUCAGACUCCUACGGGAGGCAGCAGUCGGGAAUUUUGGGCAAUGGGCGCAAGCCUGACCCAGCAACGCCGCGUGAAGGAUGAAGUAUUUCGGUAUAGUAAACUUCGAAAGAAUGGGAAGAAUCAAUGACGGUACCA
rnacentral:rRNA from 1 species